rnacentral:rRNA from 1 species
GACAGAGGUGCCGAGCGUUAGGCGGAAUCACUGGGCUUAAAGCGUGUGUAGGCGGAUGGGUAAGUACCUUGUGAAAUCCCACGGCUCAACCGUGGAACUGCUCGGUAUACUGCUCGUCUUGAGCCAACUAGGGGCGACCGGAACAAACGGUGGAGCGGUGAAAUGCGUAGAUAUCGUUUGGAACGCCGAUGGUGAAAACAGGUCGCUGGGGUUGUGCUGACGCUGAGACACGAAAGCCAGGGGAGCAAACAGG